GACGAACGCUGGCGGCGUGCUUAACACAUGCAAGUCGAACGAAGAGCGAUGGAAUCUUGCUUCUAUCAAUCUUAGUGGCGAACGGGUGAGUAACGCGUAAUCAACCUGCCCUUCAGAGGGGGACUACAGUUGGAAACGACUGCUAAUACCGCAUACGAUCUAAUCUCGGCAUCGAGGAUAGAUGAAAGGUGGCCUCUACAGGUAAGCUAUCACUGAAGGAGGGGAUUGCGUCUGAUUGGCUAGGUGGCGGGGUAACGUCCCACCAAGGCGAGGUUCAGUAGCCGGUCUGCGAGGAUGGACGGCCACCCUGGGACUGAGACACGGCCCAGACUCCUACGGGAGGCAGCAGUGGGGAAUCUUCCGCAAUGGGCGAAAGUCUGACGAAGCAACGCCGCGUGAGUGAUGACGGCCUUCGGGUUGUAAAGCUCGGUUAAUCGGGAGGAAAGGCCUUCUUGCGAACAGUUAGAGGGAUUGACGGUACCGGAAUAGAAAGCCACGGCUAACUACGUG
rnacentral:rRNA from 1 species